rnacentral:rRNA from 1 species
CCUACGGGAGACAGCAGUGGGGAAUAUUGCACAAUGGGGGAAACCCUGAUGCAGCGACGCCGCGUGAAGGCAGAAGUAUUUCGGUAUGUAAACUUCUCUCAGCAGGGAAGAAAAUGACGCUACCUGACUAAGAAGCCCCGGCUAACUACGUGCCAGCAGCCGAUGUAAUACGUAGGGGGAAAGCGUUAUCCGGAUUUACUGGGUGUAAAGGGAGCGUAGGCGGCGAUGCAAGUCAGAAGUGAAAGCCCGUGGCUCAACUCCGGGACUGCUUUUGAAACUGUAUGGCUAGAUUGCAGGAGAGGCAAGUGGAAUUCCUAGUGUAGCGGUGAAAUGCGUAGAUAUUAGGAGGAACACCAGUGGCGAAGGCGGCUUGCUGGACUGUAAAUGACGCUGAGGCUCGAAAGCGUGGGGAGCAAACAGGAUUAGAUACCCCGGUAGUC